CUUACUUGAUGUUCAUUUGUUAUGUCCCGCUUUUCGGCGAGUUCGCUCUUUGAUGCCUACCGAAUCGUUCCACUGCCAGUUUUUGCUAUUCCCGUUAUCAUUCUCAGAAAGACUGAUCUUUGUGGGGUUUUGGUCAUUAGAUCUACUCUGAACUUUGUUGCGGGUGUUGCAAUAGGAAAUCUUGCGUCUCUCUCAUGUUUGGUGGCUCAAUAAUUGGGGGAAGAUUUCUCCUUUCGCUGCUGAUUGUAGAAAUGUCCAGCUUUUGAGAACUUGAAUUUGACAAUUUCUGCAGGGGGUGGAGAAUGGAUGAAAGUGGUGGAUGCAAAACAAGAUGCUGAUGCUAGAAGAUGUGCUUUGGGCUAUAUGACUAACCAGGGAAAAGAGGCCUUCUUUUAGAUCCCAAAAGUCUUUUUCAGGGCAAGAUAUUGACGAAAGCUUGGAAGAAGCUAUCGAUGUUAGUUUCAGAGAAGAAUUAGAUGGAAAGGAAAGAAAUUCCAAGAAAUGGAAGAAAAACAUGGAUGCUAAGCAGGCAUGCCAACCUAUGCCUUCAAAUAUCAUAGGUAAACUAUGUCCAGAGAAAUAUGAUAUCUGAUUCGGUUUCCAUGCAAAAGAUUUCCGAUUCAAUAGCAAAUGAAGCUGCUGACAAGUUGAAACCAGGUUUUAUAUCCACCGGGUCUGUGCCUCCACAAUUUGAUAACUUAUUUGUAAUUGAUUCAGAAGAAGACUAUUUAGAUAAUCAUGACUCCGAUAGUGCUGGUUCCACUAGAUACUUUUUCCAGACAAAGGAUAUUGAAAAUAAUUCUACUGCAUCAAAAUCUACUGGCACAGAGUUUACAAUAUUAAAGAAAGGCAAUCUUGAUAGCUGUGAUGGCCCCUUGAAGUGCCAAAAGUCAUCUGGCUCAUUCAAAGGCAGUAUGGAUGCUGGUAUAAAUGACCCCAGUAGUGUCCCCAGUUGUGGCAAAGUUAGAAUGCCGGAAAAAUCUUGUAAAUGUUCUUUUUGUCUCAAAGCUGCUUACAUAUGGGCAGACCUACAUUAUCAGGAUACUAGAGCCAGACUCGCUGAAUUGAAGAAAAGCAAAAGGCUUGCAAGGUCUUUAGAAGCACGAAGUUGCCGCAACAAAAGCAGUAUCAAGACUGCUCAAAGCAUCUCAAAUAGAUCCCUCUCACAGGAGUCUCAAUUAACUCAACAAUGGCAAUCACUUUUCCUUUGCACAGAGAAUAUCAUUGUGCGUGAAACUACUGAGCUUGCGGUUUUUCUUUGAUGGAAAUGUUUCCUUUUAUGAUCUGAGGAUUUGCAUUUUAUUGGUCACGGAUGAAAUUUUAUCGAAAGCAUGACAAAUUUCUCAGGCUGAAAGAGUUGAAAGAGAAUUGCAAGAGAGAUUUGGAGAUAAUUAGCUUGGUUCCUUCAGAGAAAUGAUAUCAUAAAUCAUUUCCAAUUUUUUUGAUUCAGCUGUUAGGUCGUUUCACGAGGGUUCCUGACAUGGAGUAUCAAGUGGAAUUUAUCACUCAGAAAAUUUUGAGAGACCGUUUAAAUAAUUAAAAUUAUUGUUCAUAAAUUACUUGGCGGUGCGACUGUUUAUCGAAUGCUACAAUAUGCAAUUAUUGUAUAUAGUGAUCAGAAAGGAAUAACCACGAGACCAUGAAUGUUUCAGUUUCAAA